rnacentral:rRNA from 1 species
UAGGGAAUCUUCGGCAAUGGGGGGAACCCUGACCGAGCAACGCCGCGUGAGUGAAGAAGGUUUUCGGAUCGUAAAGCUCUGUUGUUAAGGAAGAACGAGUGUGAGAAUGGAAAGUUCAUGCUGUGACGGUACUUAACCAGAAAGGGACGGCUAACUACGUGCCAGCAGCCGCGGUAAUACGUAGGUCCCGAGCGUUGUCCGGAUUUAUUGGGCGUAAAGCGAGCGCAGGCGGUUAGAAAAGUCUGAAGUGAAAGGCAGCGGCUCAACCAUUGUAGGCUUUGGAAACUGUUUAACUUGAGUGCAGAAGGGGAGAGUGGAAUUCCAUGUGUAGCGGUGAACUGCGUAGAUAUAUGGAGGAACACCGGUGGCGAAAGCGGCUCUCUGGUCUGUAACUGACGCUGAGGCUCGAAAGCGUGGGGAGCGAACAGG